rnacentral:rRNA from 1 species
UAGGGAAUCUUCGGCAAUGGACGGAAGUCUGACCGAGCAACGCCGCGUGAGUGAAGAAGGUUUUCGGAUCGUAAAGCUCUGUUGUUAGAGAAGAACGUUGGUAGGAGUGGAAAAUCUACCAAGUGACGGUAACUAACCAGAAAGGGACGGCUAACUACGUGCCAGCAGCCGCGGUAAUACGUAGGUCCCGAGCGUUGUCCGGAUUUAUUGGGCGUAAAGCGAGCGCAGGCGGUUCGUUAAGUCUGAAGUUAAAGGCAGUGGCUUAACCAUUGUACGCUUUGGAAACUGGAGGACUUGAGUGCAGAAGGGGAGAGUGGAAUUCCAUGUGUAGCGGUGAAAUGCGUAGAUAUAUGGAGGAACACCGGUGGCGAAAGCGGCUCUCUGGUCUGUAACUGACGCGGAGGCUCGAAAGCGUGGGGAGCAAACAGG